rnacentral:rRNA from 1 species
GACGAACGCUGGCGGCGUGCCUAAUACAUGCAAGUCGAACGAAGCUGUUUUAACUGGUGCUUGCACCGACUUAAACAACUGAGCGGCGAACGGGCGAGUAACACGUGGGUAACCUGCCCCAAAGCGGGGGAUAACAUUUGGAAACAGAUGCUAAUACCGCAUAAUCACAGAAACCACAUGGUUUCUGUGUCAAAGAUGGUUUCGGCUAUCACUUUGGGAUGGACCCGCGGCGUAUUAGCUAGUUGGUAAGGUAAUGGCUUACCAAGGCAAUGAUGCGUAGCCGAACUGAGAGGUUGAUCGGCCACAUUGGGACUGAGACACGGCCCAAACUCCUACGGGAGGCAGCAGUAGGGAAUCUUCCACAAUGGACGAAAGUCUGAUGGAGCAACGCCGCGUGAGUGAAGAAGGUUUUCGGAUCGUAAAACUCUGUUGUCAGAGAAGAACGUGUGCGAGAGUAACUGUUCGUGCAGUGACGGUAUCUGGCCAGAAAGCCACGGCUAACUACGUGCCAGCAGCCGCCGUAA